GUUGACUGUUUUGCCCUCUGAGAGUUUGCAUGCCUCGACGGCUUGGGCUGAGAAGUGACCUGGGAGGAUCCGGAACAGAGGCCCUCUGAGUCAGAAACCGAGAAACCAAACGAUCACUGUUUGAUUCAAAACCUAAAAGAUCGACUUUGAACCCUCUACCUCUACACGAAGUGCUAGUGUCAUCCGACCCGGAUUCUCCUUGGGGUAGCUUGCCGACGAUUCCACCUGUUGGAGCAUCGACACUUCGGGUGGCCUCUCCAG
ensembl:lncRNA